rnacentral:rRNA from 1 species
UACGUAGGGUCCGAGCGUUGUCCGGAAUUACUGGGCGUAAAGCGUGCGCAGGCGGUUCGUUAAGUCAGCUGUGAAAGCCCCGGGCUCAACCUGGGAACUGCGGUUGAAACUGGCGAACUAGAAUCUGGCAGAGGGGGGUGGAAUUCCACGUGUAGCAGUGAAAUGCGUAGAGAUGUGGAGGAACACCGAUGGCGAAGGCAGCCCCCUGGGCUGAGAUUGACGCUCAGGCACGAAAGCGUGGGGAGCAAACAGG